rnacentral:misc_RNA from 1 species
ACAAAAUAGACCGAGCACGCGUCAUCCAUCCUGCUGGGCGCCGGAUCCGUCCGUCGCUUGGCCAAACACCUCGAAUAACCACCUCUCUUUGGAGAAGUGGCUCGGGGUAAAAGAACCCACGGCGCCGAAGGCGUCAAGGAAAACUGUGCCUAACCCGGGGACGCGGCUUGCUUGCUGGUCGCCCCCCGUGUUGCAAUGCUAUUUAAUCCACACGACUCUCGGCAACGGAUAUCUCGGCUCUCGCAUCGAUGAAGAACGUAGCGAAAUGCGAUACCUGGUGUGAAUUGCAGAAUCCCGCGAACCAUCGAGUCUUUGAACGCAAGUUGCGCCCGAGGCCUUUUGGCCGAGGGCACGCCUGCCUGGGCGUCACGCCAAACACGCUCCCAACCCAUAACCUGGGUCGGGAUGCGGCAUGUGGCUCCCCGUCUUGCAAGAGGCGGUGAGCCUAAGAUUUGGCUGCCGGCGUAUCGUGCCGGACACAGCGCGUGGUAGGCGACCUCGCUUUACUAAUCGCAGUGCAUCCGGAACCUAGCCGACUCUAUGGCCUCAAUAGACCCUAUUCACGGAGCGUUUGACGUUUCGACC